CGAGGCCUCGUAAUCGGAAUGAGUACACUUUAAAUAUUUUAACGAGGAACAAUUGGAGGGCAAGUCUGGUGCCAGCAGCCGCGGUAAUUCCAGCUCCAAUAGCGUAUACUAAAAUUGUUGCGGUUAAAAAGCUCGUAGUUGCAUUUGUGCGCCGCGCUGUCGGUGCACCGCUUCCGCGGUGAUACUGACACGUCUGCGGAGCAUAUCGUCGGUGAGUCGGCGGUAAAACGCCGGUUCAAUAUCAAAAUCCUAUCGCGGUGCUCUUCAGUGAGUGUCGAGAUGGGCCGACAAUUUUACUUUGAACAAAUUAGAGUGCUCAAAGCGGGCUCAAAAUGCUGCUUGAAUAUUUCGUGCAUGGAAUAAUAGAAUAUGAUCUCGGUUCUAUUUUGUUGGUUUUCAGAACUCCGAGGUAAUGAUUAAUAGGGAUAACUGGGGGCAUUCGUAUUGCGACGUUAGAGGUGAAAUUCUUGGAUCGUCGCAAGACGAACAUCAGCGAAAGCAUUUGCCAAAGGUGUUUUCAUCAAUCAAGAACGAAAGUUAGAGGUUCGAAGGCGAUUAGAUACCGCCCUAGUUCUAACCGUAAAUAUGUCAUCUAGCGAUCCGCCGACGUUACUACAAUGGCUCGGCGGGCAGCUUCCGGGAAACCAAAGAUUUUGGACUCCGGGGGGAGUAUGGUUGCAAAGCUGAAACUUAAAGGAAUUGACGGAAGGGCACCACCAGGAGUGGAGCCUGCGGCUUAAUUUGACUCAACACGGGAAAUCUCACCAGGCCCGGACACCGGAAGGAUUGACAGAUUAACAGCUCUUUCUUGAUUCGGUGGGUGGUGGUGCAUGGCCGUUCUUAGUUGGUGGAGCGAUUUGUCUGGUUAAUUCCGGUAACGAACGAGACUCUAGCCUGCUAAAUAGGCGUCGUCAUUUAGGUGUGCGUGGCUUCUGUCGCGCAACUCACUGACGACGUAUUAAAAUUCUUCUUAGAGGGACCGGCGUCUUCGAGGCGCACGAGAUUGAGCAAUAACAGGUCUGUGAUGCCCUUAGAUGUCCUGGGCCGCACGCGCGCUACACUGAAGGAAUCAGCAUGUUCUCCCUGGCCUAGAGGCCCGGGCAACCCGCUGAAACUCCUUCGUGCUGGGGAUUGGGGUUUGCAAUUAUCCCCCAUAAACGAGGAAUUCCUAGUAAGCGCGAGUCAUAAGCUCGCGUUGAUUACGUCCCUGCCCUUUGUACACACCGCCCGUCGCUACUACCGAUUGAAUGAUUUAGUGAGGUCUUCGGACCGACACGCGGUGGCUUCACGGCCGUCGGCGUUGCUGGGAAGUUGACCAAACUUGAUCAUUUAGAGGAAGUAAAAGUCGUAACAAGGUUUCCGUAGGG
rnacentral:rRNA from 1 species